CUGUGUCCGUCAUCGCUGCCAUCAUCAUCAUCAUCGGCCUCGUGGCAGUCGGUGUCUGGAAGCUCCGAUCCGGGAAGAGGGAGGGGAAUGGAUAUGACCCCGCGCCCACCAGUGAGUCCCAGCAGCGUGUGUGGAUCCAGAUCCUCUGUGCAGGGAUCCCAGGAUGGAUGCCGGGAUUCCAGAGGGGAAUGGGGACCUAAUGGCUGGAGUGGGAUUGGAAGGGGAUUGCAGCUCAGGGCAGGAUUCCAGAGUGGGAUCAGGUGGAAUUGUGGACUGAGAUCAUGGCUGGAUUCUGGAGUGGGAUUGGGGUGGGAUGGACGGAGCAGGAUCAGGUGGGAAUCCGCAGCAGUUCCUACUCUCCCUGGGCUCCACAGCCGGCUCCAUCCCCUGGGAUGGGAACAGGGACAUGGUGACUCCUUUCCCCACUCUCAUCCCAGCAGGAAUCACGGCCUGAGCGAUCCCAGAGCUGGAUCCGCCCCUUCCCUCUCCCUGUGGAAAGGCAGGAGCUGCUGGCAGAGCUCAUCCCGCUGCUCCCACCCACCCCGGCCCCCCUGCGGCUCUUCCCCAUGGAUCAACUUCCUGCUUUUUCCCGUGUGAAACCCAGGACCACAAUUAUUCCUGAGGCUUUAAUUUGGGUGUGAAAAUCUCCUGCUUUGGGCAAGAAAUCCUGGCUCCUC